UACGGAGGGGGCAAGCGUUGUUCGGAAUUACUGGGCGUAAAGGGCGCGCAGGCGGCUGCUCAAGUCAGGCGUGAAAGGCCUGGGCUCAACCCGGGAAUUGCGCUUGAGACUGGGCUGGCUUGAGUGCGGGAGAGGAUGGUGGAAUUCCCAGUGUAGAGGUGAAAUUCGUAGAUAUUGGGAAGAACACCGGUGGCGAAGGCGGCCAUCUGGACAGUGACUGACGCUGAGAUACGAAAGCGUGGGGAGCAAACAGG
rnacentral:rRNA from 1 species